UACAGAGGGUGCGAGCGUUGUCCGGAAUUACUGGGCGUAAAGGGCGCGUAGGCGGCUUGGUAAGUCGGGGGUGAAAGUCAGCGGCUCAACCGCUGGACUGCCUUCGAGACUGCCUGGCUUGAGCAUGGUAGAGGCUGGCGGAAUUCCCGGUGUAGCGGUGGAAUGCGUAGAGAUCGGGAAGAACAUCGGUGGCGAAGGCGGCCAGCUGGGCCAUUGCUGACGCUGAGGCGCGAAAGCGUGGGUAGCAAACGGG
rnacentral:rRNA from 1 species